rnacentral:rRNA from 1 species
GAUGAACGCUGGCGGCGUGCUUAACACAUGCAAGUCGAACGGAGUGCUCAUGACGGAGGAUUCGUCCAACGGAUUGAGUUACUUAGUGGCGGACGGGUGAGUAACGCGUGAGGAACCUGCCUUGGAGUGGGGAAUAACAGCCCGAAAGGGUUGCUAAUACCGCAUGAUGCAGUUGGGUCGCAUGACCCUGACUGCCAAAGAUUUAUCGCUCUGAGAUGGCCUCGCGUCUGAUUAGCUGGUUGGCGGGGUAACGGCCCACCAAGGCGACGAUCAGUAGCCGGACUGAGAGGUUGACCGGCCACAUUGGGACUGAGAUACGGCCCAG